AAUCUUUCUUGGUGGUACAUAAAAUAAUGCUAUAUAUUAUAACUGAUGAUGGCUUAGAACCGACAAAACACAGAAUAUAUAUCAUAGCUAUUGAACUGAGUGGUCCCCACAAGCACACAGACUUUUUAAAAAUUACAAACCUAAACAACUUUAUGGAAACAGAACCCAAUGACCCUUAACGUCUGACUGUUCAUACCCUUCUGCAUUUGUGCAUGUACACACACACACACACACACACACACACACACACACACACCAGAGUUCUGGGUCCCUUCACUCCCUCGUUCAGGAGCAUUACUGUGUGUACCUCUCUCCAGGGCUGUGCCAGGCACCAGAAACGCAGCGAUGACAUAGACACAUUCCUUUCUCCACGGAGCUCAGGAUACAAGAACCACAGUGGAUGAUGGCUGUGAGUGGAGCUAGCAGUAGACCUCUGAGCUGUGGACCUCAGGUUUUCCAGCUGCUCACCCCUUUUCUCACUCCUGUAGCCUCCCUGCACCCUCCCCAUGUUUCAGCUGUCUUUCUGUCACACAAACUCAAGAAACAGGCAUGUGAACACAAACAUGCAAGCUAGUGGGUGACCCUCCCGCCCAUGUCACCAUGGAAAGGCUGUUGGAAAUUAACUGGUUCAACCCUUCCCUAUACAGAGGAGGGACUGAGAAUCAUAGACGGGAGGGUCCUUUCCUGAGGUCACACAGCAUGUCUAGGGUAGGGCCUGGAGUUGAGCCCAGGUCUCUGUCCCUCUCCCCCGCAUCCAGUGGUCCUCACCCCUUACUCCUUCCUGUCCUCUCCUCCCAGCACCUGGAUAUCAGCCACCCCGUCUGAGCUGAGCCCUUCUCCCAGCCCCCAUCACAUUUCCUGGGAGGAAUGGGUGUUCUUUGGUCCAACUGCCCUCGGAGCCCCACGACAGCUCCUUCCCGCUCAUCUGCACACUGCCCCCUCCUGGCCACCAGGCCCCAGCCCCAGCUGUAGAGGGACCCGAAGUUUGGGCUGCGGGCUGCCUGAAGGAGGAAUGCAUGACUUCAGGUCCAGGAGGGGGCAUUCUCUGCUCCCUGCAGAGCCGGCCCCGCUGCCCCCCAUUUGUGCCCCUUCCAAGCUACGGAGGCUCCGGGUGGCUGUUGGGGUGGGGAACAGAAAAGCCAGCCAGGCUCACAGAUCAGACAAGCCAGAUCUGUCCCAGGGUAUAUGGGGAAACUGAGGCCUGGAGAGGAGCAGCUUGCCCAGGAUACUUGCUGGGGCUCCCUCCACUGGCCCAGGCUGCUGUGGGUCCAUCUCAGAUGGUCGUUCACUUGGGACAUAUUUAUGUUUGUGGCCCAUCAACCAGUGGAGGGAUGUCAGCCACGUGGUCCUGGCUGUAACAGGGCGGUAGUGCUGGACCCCUGGGUGGGGUCCCACCAUGGGCGCCCCAGUUUUCUCCUUGAAGUAUGAGGAAUUUGCUUAGUUCUGCUCUGUGAGUCAGUCUCCUGACCCAGCAUCCGGCGUGUAUUCAGCGGAUGGGCGGGGUGGUGGAAGAGCAAACCCUGCCCCCUCCGCCCCCUCCACCCUCACUCCCUCCAUCCCUGCCCUUCACGGAGGCUGAUUGGUAUUAAACUAUUCAAACCCAAAAGGAA
rnacentral:lncRNA from 1 species